AUUGAACGCUGGCGGCAGGCUUAACACAUGCAAGUCGAGCGGGGGAGGGUAGCUUGCUACCUAACCUAGCGGCGGACGGGUGAGUAAUGCUUAGGAAUCUGCCAUUUAGUGGGGGACAACAUUCCGAAAGGAAUGCUAAUACCGCAUACGUCCUACGGGAGAAAGCAGGGGAUCUUCGGACCUUGCGCUAAAUGAUGAGCCUAAGUCGGAUUAGCUAGUUGGUGGGGUAAAGGCCUACCAAGGCGACGAUCUGUAGCGGGUCUGAGAGGAUGAUCCGCCACACUGGAGCUGAGACACGGCCCAGACUCCUACGGGAGGUAGCAGUGGGGAAUAUUGGACGAUGGGCGGAAGCCUGAUCCAGCCAUGCCGCGUGUGUGAAGAAGGCCUUAUGGUUGUAAAGCACUUUAAGCGAGGAGGAGGCUACCUAGAUUAAUACUCUAGGAUAGUGGACGUUACUCGCAGAAUAAGCACCGGCUAACUCUGUGCCAGCCGCCGCCGUAAGAC
rnacentral:rRNA from 1 species